rnacentral:rRNA from 1 species
GACGAACGCUGGCGGCGUGCUUAACACAUGCAAGUCGAACGGAAAGGCCCUGCUUUUGUGGGGUGCUCGAGUGGCGAACGGGUGAGUAACACGUGAGUAACCUGCCCUUGACUUUGGGAUAACUUCAGGAAACUGGGGCUAAUACCGGAUAGGAGCUCCUGCUGCAUGGUGGGGGUUGGAAAGUUUCGGCGGUUGGGGAUGGACUCGCGGCUUAUCAGCUUGUUGGUGGGGUAGUGGCUUACCAAGGCUUUGACGGGUAGCCGGCCUGAGAGGGUGACCGGGCACAUGGGGACUGAGAUACGGCCCAGACGCGUACGGGAGGCAGCAGUGGGGAGUAUUGCACAAUGGGCGGAAGCCUGAUGCAGCAGCGCCGCGUGCGGGAUGACGGCCUUCGGGUUGUAAACCGCUUUCGCCUGUGACGAAGCGUGAGUGACGGUAAUGGGUAAAGAAGCACCGGCUAACUACGUG